rnacentral:lncRNA from 1 species
ACUGCCGGGAGAGGAAGAGAGAGAAAGGAAGAUUGCUUUUCCCAGGCCAGCCCCUCUGAGGCAGUCUGCUGCUUGGCAGAGAUGUUAAGGUUUGCUCUCUGGAGAUUUUCAGACUAUCCUGUCCCAGAUUCUCAUUGGGAAGCAGGCUUGUCAUUUGCUUAUUUGUCUGCGGCUGGUUUUCAUGUUGCGCAUGUGUGCACAAAUGCACAUGAAGGCCACAAAUUUUCUGCCUGCAGUUGUUGGACCAUCACGUGUCAUAGACUCCAAGAUAGCAAAUCAUGUCUUCCUCUGAGAUGGCGAGACCUACAUCCUAAAAACUUCUCAAGUCUCUUCUCUUUGAAGCUAGCACAGUUUAAGCACAUCUUCAGUCUUGCAUUAAGCCCUGCAACGCUGUCAAUUCACACCGCCAAUCGUCCUCUGGAUACACUGGCUCAUCACAUAGUUUGUAUAUGUUUAUCUUUG